ensembl:lncRNA LINC02899 long intergenic non-protein coding RNA 2899
AUGCCUGAGCCUCCCACCCCCUCCGUUGGCUCCUGUGCUGCCCGAGCCUCCCGGAUGAGCGCCGCCCCCUGCUCCAGGGCGCCCAGUCCCAUCGACCACCCAAGGGCUGAGGAGUGCGGGCGCGCGGCGCGGGACUGGCAGGCAGCUCCACCUGCAGCCCCGGUGAGGGAUCCACUGGGUGAAGCCAGCUGGGCUCCUGAGUCUGGUGAGGACAUGGAGAACCUUUAUGUCCAGCUCAAGUUGCAGUCCGUAGGCACUUGCUUUAACCGUGAAGAAUUACCUUCAGUACUUCAGGGUGAGGAAUUGGGAGCCACCAGUGUGACAAAUAAACCUGGACUCUCAGCAAUGAGGAAAGAAACAGACCAACAAGUUGGGGAAAGAAAGCUCACAUACUGCGGUGACCAGGUAACUCUGUUCACAGACCAAGCCCUCAGUCAAAUACUAUCUUCUGAGGAGGGAAGAAUCAAGGUUAUGUAG